GACGAACGCUGGCGGCGUGCUUAACACAUGCAAGUCGAGCGGAAAGGCCCUUUCGGGGGUACUCGAGCGGCGAACGGGUGAGUAACACGUGAGUAAUCUGCCCUGGACUCUGGGAUAGCCACCGGAAACGGUGAUUAAUACCGGAUACAACCACUAUCCGCAUGGGUUGGUGGUGGAAAGUUUUUUCGGUCCAGGAUGUGCUCGCGGCCUAUCAGCUUGUUGGUGAGGUAAUGGCUCACCAAGGCUUUGACGGGUAGCCGGCCUGAGAGGGUGACCGGUCACACUGGGACUGAGACACGGCCCAGACUCCUACGGGAGGCAGCAGUGGGGAAUAUUGGACAAUGGGCGGAAGCCUGAUCCAGCAACGCCGCGUGAGGGAUGACGGCCUUCGGGUUGUAAACCUCUUUCAGUACCGACGAGGCGCAAGUGACGGUAGGUACAGAAGAAGGACCGGCCAACUACGUGCCAGCAGCCGCCGUAAAAC
rnacentral:rRNA from 1 species